rnacentral:rRNA from 1 species
AACGGCCGUACCAUGCUGAAUAUACCGGUUCUCGUUAGAUCACCGAAGUUAAGCAUCAUUGGGCGCGGUCAGAACUUGGGUGGGUGACCACCUGGGAACACUGCGUGCCGUU